UUUGAAUUGUUUGCUGUUGUAGUAGCUUGUCAACACAGGCCGCGCCAACAGACCCCCUGGGGUCUUGGUUGAGUUCUUCACGAACAAGAAGUAGAGUCCCUUCCCUUUGUCUAAACCCGGAACAUACCUAUAUGUAAAGGUUCAUAACCGGCAUAAGAAGGCUGUACAAUUUCUGUCUUCGGUCCAUUUCUUCAGCGAUCGUCGGCAUCAAUUUCCUUUCUCCUGCAGAAGUUCCAGAACUGCAUGCAAAUCCAACAUCUUUAUAUCAAUAAAAAAAAAUAAAAAAAUUCUAAACAAAGCCUAAAACAGAGAGAGUUGAUUUGAAUUAUUCUAUUAAAAAAAAAAAAAGAAAGAAAGAAAA